rnacentral:rRNA from 1 species
GUGGGGAAUCUUCCGCAAUGGACAAAAGUCUGACGGAGCGACGCCGCGUGAGUGAUGAAGGUUUUCGGACUGUAAAGCUCUGUUGUUUAGGACGAAAGUGCCUGUUGCAAAUAGUUACAGGUAUUGACGGUACUGAACGAGGAAGCCACGGCUAACUACGUGCCAGCAGCCGCGGUAAUACGUAGGUGGCAAGCGUUGUCCGGAAUUAUUGGGCGUAAAGAGCAUGUAGGCGGGAAUCUAAGUCUGUUGUGAAAAUGCGGGGCUCAACCCCGUAUUGCGAUGGAAACUGGGUUUCUUGAGUGCAGGGGAGGAAAGGGGAAUUCCCAGUGUAGCGGUGAAAUGCGUAGAUAUUGGGAGGAACACCAGUGGCGAAGGCGCCUUUCUGGACUGUGUCUGACGCUGAGAUGCGAAAGCCAGGGUAGCGAACGGGAUUAGAAACCCCAGUAGUCC